AAGAUACGGGUUUCUCUCUCUCUUGAACGUUUGAGUUUCUGCUGUUAUCCGUUUCAGUUUCACUCCCUUUUCCUUUCCCAUCUUCCCAUUCGAGGGUUCCAAAACGCUAUAAUAUAACGUCAAAGCGAGAAAUCGAGAGAGAGGAUGAGAUUGGAGGCGACAGACGUUGAACGGCCACCGUCGACGGCGGAAGAGAGCUUCACUGAGCCCCGGCGAGGCCAAGCUUCUUGGCGGAGGUGAAGUAGGCGACGUGGAAGACGCGGAGGAGGUUCGUAGGUUGCGUGGUUUCUGGAGCGACCUUGGUCUCUUUCCUGAUCUUCAUCUCCCAACCUAGGUCGAGAUUGGAAAGUAUGAUUCAUUCCACAGCAGAAUGAUGGAGGAGCUUCACUCGCAAGGAUCAAUCAGUGAAUUGAAUUGGUCCCAGUGGCUCCACACCAGCUCUAUUCCUGCUGCAUAGUUUUCAGAUUCAUAGCGGGUGCCACAGCCAGCCCUUUUGGCCAUUUUGUAUCCUCCCCACUACGUUUCUUCACUAUAUCAGUCCUUGAGUCAAAUUGGUAAGAUAAGUCACUACAUGGGUAUUCUUCUUUUCUUUAGUUUCUCCAAAAACCUGUGCUUUAUCUAUGCUCUACAAGUGUUGGCUAUUACACUAUAAUAUUUUUUGUACACUUUUGAAGUAUUUGGCAAUAGAGCUUACAACAACUAUGUUUGAGAUUAUUCUGUCAUUGUUAUUGUUUUGCUCUGCUAAGAUAUUCUUUCUUUUGGCCAACAUAAUCUUAGAUAUUUUCCCAAGCAUCCUCACAUUGUACUGCAAGGGUCUGUUGUCUACUGAAUGAGUUGUUGCAUGCUUUGUGGUUUUCAAAAAUAUAUAUCAGUAUAGAAAGCCAAAAUAUAUAAGGUAGCAUGUUAUCCAUAAGUGAUAAUUAAGUGAAGUUGAUGCUCAAGUAUGACCGUUCUAAAAAUAACUUCACUUUUCAACAAAACAUAACCAUCAGUGACUUACUCUGAAUGUAUAGAGUUGAUUUUAUAUUGAGUUGUUGCUACUAUUGGUGUUCUGACUUUUGGCGAAAUGGUUUUGGUUUCUUCUAGCAUGUACCUUCUGUUUCUUACUUCCUUUCUCCUUUUUUACACAAUCGAUUUCAGGCAGCGUCUUCAACAAUUGAAGCUUCCCCUUCAACACAUCUCAUGAUUUCAUUUCUCUAUUUUGAUUUUUACUUUUGUGCAUCCUACCACAUAGAACUGAUGUGAUUUCAUUCAAUAAAAUCCUAUGAAUUUAUAUGUGGUGUUUGGUUCAUGUCUGAACUUGCUAUUACUUCAGCAGUAUACUUAAAAUUAAGGGAAUGAUGUGUUUUUUAAAUAUGGAUUUAGACUAUUUUUCACCUAUUUGGGUCAAUAGUUAGUGUUUGGUAUUUAAUGUGUUCUCUUCCCCAGUUUUUUAUCAGUCACCUAUUCCACUAUGGAAAGUCACUGUAUUGCAAGUGAAUAUCAAGUUGGAAAUACUCCCAGAAGAAGAUUUUGGCCUUGAAAUAGAUAUCAGAGGGUUCUCAAUACUUGAUAAUCCCUCUAUGCCGUCAGAGGUGAAAAGGUAAUGUCUUGAUGUUCAGCUCUGCAUAGAAGGAACUCAAGAUUGUGAUGAAUCAAAUGAUACCACUUUGGGGGGAUUACUUAAAUUUCCAAAUGCUUAUAAAAAAGACUUAGCUUUCCAAAGCAUAGCAAUGAAGAAACGGUAUUUGAUUAUUUUUUUCAAGCUUAUAUCUGUCACUUUUUCCCCUGUGAAUUCAAGCUUUUAUAUAUUUGUAACAUGUCCAAUUGUUAUUUCUGUUCAAAGUUUCCUAAAUCAGCCCUAUAAACUACAUUUAUAUGGUCAUCUUUGUUGGUUUAGUUGAAUGGACGGGAUAGGGAUAAGGCAGAGGAAAGGGAGCGGGAGAAGCAUAUAGAUAGAGAAAAGGAGAGGGAAAGCUAUAGAUAUGGGGAGAAGGACAAGGGGGAGGGAAAAAAAUUGAGUAAUGUUGAUGAUAAAGUAGACUGCCAUGAAAACAGAGAUGAGGAGGUUUGGUAUGAUGGAGCUGUUGCUUUAGCUAGGCUCAUUAAUUUUUAAUUUUUUUUUGCAGUGUGAGAUAUGUUUGUUUCUACAGUUAAUUAGUAGUAUUUGCUAUAAUUCAGGUGUUGGUUUAUUUGAAUGAAAGGGAUAGGGAUAAGGCAAAGGAAAGAGAGCGAGAGAAGCAUACAAAUAGUUAAGAGAAGAGGGUAAGCUAUAAAGAUGGGGAGAAGGACAAGGGGAAAGAUAAAACUAGAGGGAAGGAAAGGGAGAUAAAUCGAAUAAAAGAAAGGUCUAGAGAUAGAGUAAGUAGAUAGACCAAUGAGGAAAAUCAUAAAUUGAGUAAUGUUGAUAAGUAGACUACCACUUUAGCGUACCAUUUUAUGUCAUAAUUCUUUGCUCUUUUUGUAUGGUUCCUUUUCUCUUAGGCUCAUACCACAUAGUACUAUUAAAUUUCUCCUAGACAUAACUGCUAUCAUUGUUAAAUGUGUUGUUUGCUACCAUUUUUGCCAUUAGUUAAUUUUAACAAGAAAAUGUAUCCAUCCGCUUACAGUCUUUUACUGUAAUUUGAUAUUCAUACGCUUUUUGUUUCUCGAUAUUGAUCUUCCUUUGUUUGUUGACUUAAAUUAUAGAAGUUAGGUUGCUAAAUGGAGCUUUCGUGCAGUGGAAGGACAAAUAAGAAUGCUUUUACUUUGCUCACUACUUUCUAUUUUGAUAUAAUGUUUCAGCUUAUCCCCUCUUGAGACUUUCUCUAAGGCAUAUAAGCUGUGAAAGAAUCUCUCCCCUGGAAAUUGAGCAUGUCCUUGGAUACAUCUCUCAUUGAGCAUAUCCCCUCUUGAUUCUCUAAGAUAUAUCAGUUGUGAAAGAAUCCUCUCCCCUGGAAUUUGAGCAUGUCUCUGGAAACAUCUCUCAUUUUACUUUUGUGUGCAUGCAGGAGUUGUUAGUGAUUGAAUUGUUAAACUGUAUUACUCCAUGUGACCAAGUCACUUGAGAUUUAUGGAGCAUUCUAUCAACAACUUUGAUUUGAAAAAGAUGCGUAUUGAAUUAAAAUUCACCUCAUACCAUGGGGAAGACAAGUUUCAUCCUUGCUUUUAUCUACUCAGCUUCUUUGUUCUUAAAUGCUGCAAUUACCUUUGUUGGAUACAAGAUGAGUGGUCAGGGCAGAGAAAAAGUAACGUAGUUUGCAAAGGAAGACAGUUCUUACUCCUUUGGAGAACCUAGCAUGACUUUGAGCUUAUUAGUAAUGAGAUCAGUAAAUAGGACUGCAGUGUUAAUGAUGAUAAAUAAUAAUAUUAACAACAUCCUGUUUAUUUGUCAUCUACAUAUUUGUCAGUGUUGAUUUUUGCAUUUCAUAUGCUUGAAUAAUUUAGUUUUUGACUUUUUGUACAA